rnacentral:rRNA from 1 species
GACGAACGCUGGCGGCGUGCUUAACACAUGCAAGUCGAACGGAAAGGCCUGCUUUCCCUUGUGGAUUGCGGGUACUCGAGUGGCGAACGGGUGAGUAACACGUGAGUGAUCUGCCCCCAACUUGGGUAUAAGCCUGGGAAACUGGGUCUAAUUCCCGAUAGGACUGCAGGGUGGUGCCUGUGGUGGAAAACGAUUUUCUAGUGGUUGGGGAUGAGCUCGCGGCCUAUCAGCUUGUUGGUGGGGAAAUGGCCUACCAAGGCGGGGACGGGUAGCCGGCCUGGGAGGGUGGACGGCCGCAUUGGGACUCAGAUACGGCCCAGACUCCUACGGGAGGCAGCAGUGGGGAAUAUUGCACAAUGGGCGGAAGCCUGAUGCAGCGACGCCGCGUGGAGGAUGACGGCCUUCGGGUUGUAAACUCCUUUCGACCGCGAGGAAGCCACCUGGUUGGAAGGGUGGUGACGGUAGUGGUAGAAGAAGCACCGGCUAACUACGUG